ACAGCUUACAAUACGCAUGAAAGAUAGAUCUGGGGUGUUUAAAAACAUCAAAAGCAACAUAGAUCUUGAAUCAACCAUUUAUAUAAAAUAGUAAUCUCUGUUAGUCUGUUAGUUUGUAUGUCUUAUCAAAACUAAUGUACCCUCUCGCCAUUUUGCCUCAAAUAUUGAUUGGGAAAUUAAUUUGAAAACGUCCAGUCUAAAAUGAGGACGCACCAAAGUAAAAGAUUAAAAUUUUAUUUUUUUUGUGAAAGUAAACUUACAUUUAAAGCUAUUUAUCUCCAAACGGUGAAAAUUGAUAGUCAAAAAGCCGCAAAAUAUGGUAAUUGAUAUCUUAUAUUUGUAAACUUUUUUAAGUGUUCACUAAAGCUGAAUAGCUGCUCCGGUAGUCGGCUAUCAUCUUCCCUGGCCUAAACUAAGCUUCAAUGAACAUUUAGGAAGUUGCCAUUUGCGAAAUCGUUCCCUAUGGGAAGUGGUCCCAAUAUAUUUUUUUGUCGUCAGUCUAUUUCACUUAUUGAUGUAAACUUUUAGUUUGAAAAGUCUCUUCAGAGAUUGUUUGUAUGAUUCGAAUAAUGUGUAUGUUUGACUAUUUGUUAGUACACUUUUUCAGUGACAAUCAAUUCUUAAUAGAAAAUAUAGGUUAAUUUUCAAAUGUU